rnacentral:rRNA from 1 species
AUUGAACGCUGGCGGCAGGCCUAACACAUGCAAGUCGGACGGUAGCACAGAGGAGCUUGCUCCUCGGGUGACGAGUGGCGGACGGGUGAGUAAUGUCUGGGGAUCUGCCCGAUAGAGGGGGAUAACCACUGGAAACGGUGGCUAAUACCGCAUAACGCCGCAAGACCAAAGAGGGGGACCUUCGGGCCUCUCACUAUCGGAUGAACCCAGAUGGGAUUAGCUAGUAGGCGGGGUAACGGCCCACCUAGGCGACGUUCCCUAGCUGGUCUGAGAGAAUGGCAGACCGCACUGGAACUGAGAGUCGAUCCAGAAGCCUACGGGGGGCAGCAGUUGGGAGUCUUGCGCACUGGGCGCAAGCCUGAUGCACCCUUGCAGCGGGUAGGAAGAAGCCCUUCGGUUUGCAAAGUACUGUCAGCGGGGAGGAAGGCGAUGUGGUUAAUAACCGCGUCGAUUGACGUUACCCGCAGAAGAAGCACCGGCUAACUCCGUGCCAGCAGCCGCCGUAA